AUGAUUGGAAUAGACACCUUGGGCCAUUUAGUCCAACCCCCUUCUGCCUUUGUGCACCAAAAGCACAAGCAAAGCACACCUGACAGAUGGCCACCCAGCUUCAAUGAUAAUAAUAAUAAUAAUAAUAAUAAUAAUAAUAAUAAUAAUAAUAAUAAUAAUAAUAAUAGUAAUAUUCAUGCCCUGGCAGAAUAUGUAAAGCAAAGUGAAGAACCUGCUUUGAUUGAAGUCAAAAAUCAGAAACUCCUCAAAGCACAGCAGACAAAAAACCAGUACAAGAAAACCGCACUACAAACUAGAGCUGACAGCUGGCACAACAAAACAUUGCAUGGAAAGUUCCUUGACAAAAUUGAAGGAAAAGCUGACAAGGAGAAUACCUGGCUCUGGCUCACGAAUGGGACCCUGAAGAAGGAGACAGAAGGCCUGAUCCUUGCAGCCCAGGAGCAAGACAUCAGGACAAAGGCAAUUCAGGCCAAGAUCGAAAAAUCAGCUGAUGACCCAAAAUGCAGACUGUGCAAGGAAACCAAUGAAACCAUGGAUCACAUCCUCAGCUGCUGUAAGAAAAUUGCACAGACAGACUACAAACAGAGGCACAACUAUGUGGCCCAAAUGAUUCAUUGGAAUUUAUGCCUCAAAUACCACCUCCCAGCAGCAAAGAACUGGUGGGAUCACAGACCGGCAAAAGUCUUGGGAAAUGAACACGCAAAGAUACUGUGGGACUUCCGAAUCCAGACUGACAAAGUUCUAGAACAUAACACACCAGACAUCACAGUUGUGGAAAAGAAAAAGGUUUGGAUCAUUGAUGUUGCCAUCCCAGGUGACAGUCGCAUUGACGAAAAACAACAGGAAAAACUCAGCCGCUAUCAGGACCUCAAGAUUGAACUGCAAAGACUCUGGCAGAAACCAGUGCAGGUGGUCCCGGUGGUGAUGGGCACACUGGGUGCCGUGCCAAAAGAUCUCAGCUGGCAUUUGGAAACAAUAGACAUUGACAAAAUUAUGAUCUGCCAACUGCAAAAGGCCACCCGACUGGGACCUGCGUGCAUCAUCCGAAAAUACAUCACACAGUCCUAG
rnacentral:lncRNA from 1 species